CGGUCGCAACCGAAGCAUCCGAUGCCACCGCUGCCACCGUAAACGUCAUCUCAGCUGUGAAGAAGAGGUGGAGGGGCACUGUUAGUACCGUCGUCGCUAUUCCGCGUAGUCGCUGUCGAGAAGCAGAACAAAACAGAGAGAGACGUGAAGGAGGAUGAUGGAGGCCACCACCGCUGCUAUUGUCAUCGCUGGGCUAGUCGGAAGCCACCGUGACCACCACUGAUCUCUACGCUUCUGUAGAGUCACUGAUGGAGGUUGAAUAAUGAUGCUGGUGUUGCCGUGGGACUGUUGAAGCUGCUGCUAGUUCUAAUUUGUUACCUUGGUACUCGUCUGAUCUUUCCCUUAGGUUUGGUCCAUUUACACGUUCUGUUUUGUCACUGCUAUGGUUACCAUGUUCUGGUUUUAAUUUAAUUUUAGUCCUUGCUUU